UGGGGAAUCUUCCGCAAUGGACGAAAGUCUGACGGAGCGACGCCGCGUGAGUGAAGAAGGCCCUCGGGUCGUAAAGCUCUGUCAUCGGGGACGAACGGCUGGACUAGGAAAUGAGUUCAGAUUGACGGUACCCGAGGAGGAAGCCACGGCUAACUACGUGCCAGCAGCCGCGGUAAUACGUAGGUGGCGAGCGUUGUCCGGAAUUAUUGGGCGUAAAGCGCGCGCAGGUGGGAUCUUAUGUCUGCUUUAAAAGUGCGGAGCUUAACUCCGUGAUGGGGUGGAAACUGAGAUUCUUGAGUGCCGGAGAGGAAAGCGGAAUUCCCCGUGUAGCGGUGAAAUGCGUAGAUAUGGGGAGGAACACCAGUGGCGAAGGCGGCUUUCUGGACGGUGUCUGACACUG
rnacentral:rRNA from 1 species